rnacentral:tRNA from 1 species
GGAGAGAUGGCUCAAAGAUUAAGAGCACUGGUUGCUCUUGCAGAGGACCUGGGUUCAAUUUCCAGUAUCCCCC